GUGGUAGUCAAGUGGUAUCCACAAGCAAAAUCCAUCUUUUCCUGUUGCAUUUUAAUUGAUGAGAAAUGGGAGACUGUGAGAGCCUCCACUGCUGAACCUCCUGACUCCAUUUUAGUGAGGUUUUCCUUAAUUUAUUUUCACAAGACCAUAGGUUUGAAUAUGCCUUUCUUGUAAGCUGAGGUACAGACUACGUAACUGUAAGGACUAAAGACUGAAGACCUACUGAGGGAUUGGAGUCUGGAGGCAAGCCUGCCUGCUUGGAUGUAACUAGGCAGGGAUGUUUCACAAACAAACAUUGCUCCAAGGCAUUCCUGCUGCUGUCUCAGGCCAAGGAAAGCAAGCCCACACAUUUGCUUCUUCCUCCACUUGGCUCUCGCGGCACAGAGGUGUCCAAGAAGAUGUUGCUAAGGCCAAAAGAACCCCUUUUCAUUUAUUUUUAAAACAAACUAGUAAUGUAUGCAUAUACUCUCACUGUGAAAAAACAUCAGGCAAUACAGAAGUUAUUCAUUAAAAAUAAAAGUAUCCUUCCCUCCCUUUCAA